rnacentral:piRNA from 1 species
UCCCAGGAGUUUUUUUCCACAUUGGUGUC